GUAAUAUUACAGUAUUUAUUUAUUUAAUAUUACACAGUAAUUCAUGCAACCCAGCGUUCAGAAAUAAUUAUGGGUUAUUACAAAAAUCCAGUGUAAAAUCACAUUCAAAAUAAUGUGCGUUUCUCCAACACUGCUUAAUUUGUGUUGACGGGUUUCGAUUGCCUGGUGGUGUUUUGUUUAGCCGCUGCAAUGUUGAUGAAUCGCUUGCAGAGUUUUUCUUUUAUAAAUAACGUUUAAAAUACGAAAUUAUGGUGAAACUUAUGCACUGAGACAUCCAAAUAGUAUCCGGUUAUAUAGAAUUUAAUUUUCUGUUCCAUAACAUCACUGCUGAAGAUAUUCCCAAAUUCGGAUGCUCCACGUACCCUGCACGACAAAUCCAUUAUAAUAGAUCACAGAAGGAUUACGAUGGCAAAGAACUCAGCGGCCACUUGGCAGGUUCCGGAUCCCCCGUCCAUGACUUUGACGCAACAAAUAAUAACGUAGCUUAAAGAGCCGGCUUAUAAGUCUACAGAUACUGUUGCUCCGAGGAAUAACGAUGUUAUAAACAGUUUUCACAGAUCCGUCCGGAUGACAUUUUAUAUACAUUGGAAAGGGCCUCUAUCGGUGCACAUCCGUUGAGUGUUUUUGUCGAGGACAUGAACAAAAAUCCUAACGCGAGUGAGGUAAGUAAUAGUAACCAGUGGAUCGCGGUUUCCCGGAAUCCCUUACGAAGAUGCCAUUUUCAUUAUGCGUACGAACGUAUUCUACGUUGAAAAUACCAGUCUCCCGCUGUAUUCCACGAUUAUCGAAAUUUAUUUCAACUUCAUCCAGUACUCCAAGAUGGAGUGAAAGGUAGAAAUGCGAUGCAUCUACGUGAGAUUCAGGAUAUCAACAAGAAAUCAAGACGCAGGAAAUCGAUCAAUGUCUACCUACCGGAUUCGGACACGGCGAGUGUCCGAACAACAUCAGCAUUCUGGUUACGUCAAGAAAAUGAUUAAAACCAGCCUUGAUGACAUGGCCUUUCAAUUAUCGCGUGCUAGUCCUGGAUCCAAACUGCGUGUUUGGUGAUAUGCUACUCUACCUAUAGUUCUCCUCGUUGGCUCCGUGGUUGGCUUCAUCGAUGCUUUGAAUUAUUCUCAGGGUUCCAACGAUUCUUGAUGGGCGGGAAACGGCCACUACGCUGGGCAACCUUCACCACGGACACCUACUUUGUGUACGACAGCGAUGGUUGGAAUCUGCCGAGCAGCAUGUUCAACAGCUAGAUAAAAGUAACGCUAUUUGAUUAGAUCUAUAAUUAUUGUUUCGUUCAAGUUCCGUGUCGAUUUCUUCAGGAAUUUUAAUAAAAGUAAAAUAAAAUCAUAUAAAAUUGAAAAAUUCAGGUUCAUAGAUAAAACGAAGGAAACUCAAUUUAUCUUGCACCAUGUACAUCGUCCUUUUCACGUUGAA